rnacentral:rRNA from 1 species
GACGGAGGAUGCAAGCGUUAUCCGGAAUUAUUGGGCGUAAGGCGUCCGCAGGUGGACAUACAAGUCUGCUGUCAAAGUGCAGAGCUUAACUCUGUAAAGGCGGUGGAAACUGUAGGUCUUGAGUAUGGUAGGGGUAGAGGGAAUUCCCGGUGUAGCGGUGAAAUGCGUAGAUAUCGGGAAGAACACCAGUGGCGAAGGCGGCUCACUGGACUGGUAUUGACGCUGAGGUGCGAAAGCGUGGGGAGCAAACAGG